UACGUAGGUGGCAAGCGUUGUCCGGAAUUAUUGGGCGUAAAGCGCACGUAGGCGGAUUGUUAAGUCAGGGGUGAAAUCCUGGAGCUCAACUCCAGAACUGCCUUUGAUACUGGCGAUCUCGAGUCCGGGAGAGGUGAGUGGAACUGCGAGUGUAGAGGUGAAAUUCGUAGAUAUUCGCAAGAACACCAGUGGCGAAGGCGGCUCACUGGCCCGGUACUGACGCUGAGGUGCGAAAGCGUGGGGAGCAAACAGG
rnacentral:rRNA from 1 species